AUUGAACGCUGGCGGCAGGCCUAACACAUGCAAGUCGAGCGGGGUUUUCGGACCUAGCGGCGGACGGGUGAGUAAUGCGUAGGAAGCUGCCCGAUAGAGGGGGAUACCAGUUGGAAACGACUGUUAAUACCGCAUAAUGUCUACGGACCAAAGUGUGGGACCUUCGGGCCACAUGCUAUCGGAUGCGCCUACGUGGGAUUAGCUAGUUGGUGAGGUAAUGGCUCACCAAGGCGACGAUCUCUAGCUGGUUUGAGAGGAUGAUCAGCCACACUGGAACUGAGACACGGUCCAGACUCCUACGGGAGGCAGCAGUGGGGAAUAUUGGACAAUGGGCGCAAGCCUGAUCCAGCCAUGCCGCGUGUGUGAAGAAGGCCUUCGGGUUGUAAAGCACUUUCAGCGAGGAGGAAGGGUUAGUCGUUAAUAGCGGCUAAUUUUGACGUUACUCGCAGAAGAAGCACCGGCUAACUCUGUGCCAGCCGCCGCCGUAACAC
rnacentral:rRNA from 1 species